rnacentral:rRNA from 1 species
UACGUAGGGUGCAAGCGUUGUCCGGAAUUAUUGGGCGUAAAGAGCUCGUAGGCGGUUCGUCACGUCGGCUGUGAAAUCCCGAGGCUCAACCUCGGGUCUGCAGUCGAUACGGGCGGACUUGAGUACUGCAGGGGAGACUGGAAUUCCUGGUGUAGCGGUGAAAUGCGCAGAUAUCGGAAGGAACACCAGUGGCGAAAGCGGCUCCCUGGUCCAGCACCGACGUUCAGGCACGAAAGCGUGGGGAGCAAACAGG